GAUGAACGCUGGCGGCGUGCUUAACACAUGCAAGUCGAACGAAGCACAUUUGUGGAUCCCUUUCGGGGGUGAAGCAAAUGUGACUGAGUGGCGGACGGGUGAGUAACGCGUGGGUAACCUGCCUCAUACAGGGGGAUAACAGUUGGAAACGACUGCUAAUACCGCAUAAGCGCACAGUAUCGCAUGAUACGGUGUGAAAAGAUUUAUCAGUAUGAGAUGGACCCGCGUCUGAUUAGCUAGUUGGUGAGGUAAUGGCCCACCAAGGCGACGAUCAGUAGCCGGCUUGAGAGAGUGAACGGCCACAUUGGGACUGAGACACGGCCCAAACUCCUACGGGAGGCAGCAGUGGGGAAUAUUGCACAAUGGGGGAAACCCUGAUGCAGCGACGCCGCGUGAGUGAAGAAGUAUUUCGGUAUGUAAAGCUCUAUCAGCAGGGACGAUAAUGACGGUACCUGACUAAGAAGCCCCGGCUAACUACGUGCCAGCAGCCGCGGUAA
rnacentral:rRNA from 1 species